rnacentral:rRNA from 1 species
GUGUCAGCAGCCGCGGUAAUACGAAGGGGGCUAGCGUUGCUCGGAUUGACUGGGCGUAAAGGGCGCGUAGGCGGUUUGUACAGUCAGACGUGAAAUUCCUGGGCUCAACCUGGGGGCUGCGUUUGAUACGUGCAGACUUGAGUUCGGAAGAGGGUCGUGGAAUUCCCAGUGUAGAGGUGAAAUUCGUAGAUAUUGGGAAGAACACCGGUGGCGAAGGCGGCGACCUGGUCCGAUACUGACGCUGAGGCGCGAAAGCGUGGGGAGCAAACAGGAUUAGAUACCCCAGUAGUCC